AAAAUUAUAGUUUAUUAAAAAUAUUUAAUUUGCAUUUAAAAGAAACUUUCAGUUAAUUUUA
rnacentral:tRNA from 1 species